rnacentral:lncRNA from 1 species
GGAGGGGCAAAAUUGUCCGAAAUAAUCACGGGAACACACCCAUAGAAAAUAGCCUCCACUACCCUUGGACUAUUGACCUCAUACCCUUUAGCACAUAUACAAAACUUGCUAGUUUUCAUGUAUUCGAUAUAGUUUUUAUUGUUUUUGGAUUUUGGGAGUUUUUUGAAGAUUUUAAUUUCAGGAUCUUUGUUUUCCCAGUGGUGUAGGAGAAUCGGGCGGAGGUCUCCGUGCAUUCGGCCGGCGAAAAAGGCGAGGGUUGACCGUUUUGAAGGGGGUUGACCACCGAAUUGUUUCAAUGGAUUUUUUGAUGAUUGAAUCGUUGUUUCAGGUAAUGCAACGUCUUUUCCUAAUUCGAAUCCUUCGUUUUUGACAUCGGAAUUGCACAUUGCGCGAAUGCAAUUGUUCAUGUAUUUCUUUGUUUCAGAUGGGGCCUUAAAUAUCAUAAAAAUGUAAGCGAUUGUGUUAAAAGGGCAUUAUGAUAUCAAGGAAAGAGGAAUGGAAUGAGAAUUUCAUAGCUUAUGCUUACCCAAUCGUGACAUGCAACAAGGAAAUGAUCAGAUCCAGAAGUUCUAUUCCAGAAACUGUAUCUUCCAGAAAUUAAAUCAAGGUAUUUCUUCAAAUACUGAAUUAAGUUUUUGUGAGUAUGAGAAUCAACAACGUAUAAUUUUUCUUCCAACAUUCUUGAGCUAAAAGGUAAGUAGAAAAGAUGAGCUUCUUUUGGUUUUUUAGUGACGAAAUGUUUGCUUGCUUUCAUGUGUUUCAUAAACCAUCCUUCAGAUGCGUAUAUUCCUUUUAGCACUGCUUGUGGUUGAUGAAAUAUAGGCUUUUCUCCCUCCUUGUAUAUGUAUACCUUGAGUGUUUUUUCCAUUAAUUCAUAGCUCCUGAAUUU